rnacentral:ncRNA from 1 species
UGUCGGGUAAGGAGCAGCCGUCCGCCCGUACCGAGUCCUUGGGGGUGAACUGGUAACAUAAGUCCUAAGCGUAGGACAGGGAGCAGCAGAGCCGUAACGAAAGUGAAGCGAUAGAGCCGGGAAAUAAUUAUUCAGUGGGAUUUGGUCGAUGUUUUCAUAUUGACAGCAGACAACACUGUGCUGAACGAUAAAGGCGAGGACAGCACGAC